rnacentral:piRNA from 1 species
UGUGCUUACUGACGCCUUCCCUGGGCCA